rnacentral:rRNA from 1 species
GACGAACGCUGGCGGCGUGCUUAACACAUGCAAGUCGAACGGAAAGGCCCUGCUUUUGUGGGGUGCUCGAGUGGCGAACGGGGGAGUAACACGUGAGUAACCUGCCCUUGACUUUGGGAUAACUUCAGGAAACUGGGGCUAAUACCGGAUAGGAGCUCCUGCUGCAUGGUGGGGGUUGGAAAGUUUCGGCGGUUGGGGAUGGACUCGCGGCUUAUCAGCUUGUUGGUGAGGUAGUGGCUUACCAAGGCUAUGACGGGUAGCCGGCCUGAGAGGGUGACCGGCCACAUUGGGACUGAGAUACGGCCCAGUAUCCUACGGGAGGCAGCAGUGGGGAAUAUUGCACAAUGGGCGGAAGCCUGAUGCAGCAACGCCGCGUGCGGGAUGACGGCUUUCGGGUUGUAAACCGCUUUCGCCUGUGACGAAGCGUGAGUGACGGUAAUGGGUAAAGAAGCACCGGCUAACUACGUG